rnacentral:rRNA from 1 species
AUUGAACGCUCGCGGCAGGCCUAACACAUGCAAGUCGAACGGUAACAGGAAACAGCUUGCUGUUUCGCUGACGAGUGGCGGACGGGUGAGUAAUGUCUGGGAAACUGCCUGAUGAAGGGGGAUAACUACUGGAAACGGUAGCUAAUAUCGCAUAACGUCGCAAGACCAAAGAGGGGGACCCUCGGGCCUCUUGCCAUCGGAUGUGCCCAGAUGGGGUUAGCUUGUUGGUGGGGUAACGGCUCACCAAGGCGACGAUCCCUAGCUGGUCUGAGAGGAUGACCAGCCACACUGGAACUGAGACACGGUCCAGACUCCUACGGGAGGCAGCAGUGGGGAAUAUUGCACAAUGGGCGCAAGCCUGAUGCAGCCAUGCUGCGUGUAUGAAGAAGGCCUUCGGGUUGUAAAGUACUUUCAGCGGGGAGGAGGGGAGUAAAGUUAAUACCUUUGCUCAUUGACGUUACCCGCAGAAGAAGCACCGGCUAACUCCGUGCCAGCAGCCGCGGUAAUACGGAGGGUGCAAGCGUUAAUCGGAAUUACUGGGCGUAAAGCGCACGCAGGCGGUUUGUUAAGUCAGAUGUGAAAUCCCCGGACUCAACCUGGGAACUGCAUCUGAUACUGGCAAGCUUGAGUCUCGUAGAGGGGGGUAGAAUUCCAGGUGUAGCGGUGAAAUGCGUAGAGAUCUGGAGGAAUACCGGUGGCGAAGGCGGCCCCCUGGACGAAGACUGACGCUCAGGUGCGAAAGCGUGGGGAGCAAACAGG